rnacentral:snRNA from 1 species
AUACUUACUUGGCAGGGGAGAUACCAUGAUCACGAAGGUGGUUUUCCCAGGGCGAGGCUUAUACAUUGCACUCCGGAUGUGCUGACCAUCCGGGAAACUCGAGUGCAUAAUUUGUGGUAAUGGGGGACUGUGUUGGAGCUCUCCCCUG